UGGGGGCCGAGAUGUCGGGGCUCAGCCACCCAGAGAUGGAGGGCUGUCGUAACCUGCUCGGCCUACUAGACAACGAUGAUAUCAUGGCCCUGUGCGACACCAUCACCAACCGCCUGGUGCAGCCUGAGGACCGCCAAGAUGCCAUUCGUGCAAUAUUAGUGUACAGUCAAAGUGUAGAAGAGCUUUUGAGGCGUAAGAAAGUCCACCGGGAAGUCAUAUUUAAGUACUUGGCAACACAGGGGGUUAUUAUACCUCCAGCUACUGAAAAACACAAUCUUAUUCAGCAUGCAAAGGAUUACUGGAAAAGGCAGUUACAGCCAAAAUUGAAGGAAACACCAGAGCCAGUUAAGACAGAGGACAUGAGACUCUUUCAACAGCCGGAAAAAGAAGAUAAGAAAGCUGAAAAAGUUGAUUUUCGUCGAUUAGGAGAAGAAUUCUGUCACUGGUUCUUUGAACUUCUUAAUUCUCAGAAUCCUUUCCUGGGACCGCCUCAAGAUGAAUGGGGGCCACAGCACUUCUGGCACGAUGUCAAGCUUAGGUUUUAUUACAACACCUCUGAACAAAAUGUGAUAGACUACUGUGGAGCAGAAAUUGUAAGCCUUCGUCUGCUGUCACUAGUGAAAGAAGAGUAUCUUUUUCUCAGUCCCAAUCUAGAUGCCAGUGGACUGAAAUGUGCUUCUUCUCCCCAUGGUCUAGUUAUGGUUGGAGUUGCUGGGACUGUCCACCGAGGGAACACUUGUUUGGGCAUUUUUGAACAAAUAUUUGGACUCAUACGCUGCCCUUUUGUGGAAAAUACUUGGAAAAUCAAAUUUAUCAACCUGAGAAUUAUUGGAGAGGGUUCUCUUGCUCCUGGAACAUUAAUGAAACCAGCUAUUACAUUCGAACCUGGUGAUCUAGAGAGCUUUUAUAACGUAAUUACUUCAUGUGGUACCAACGAAAUACAAGUUGAUGUAAGGCAGGCAUUGGAUAGUGGAACUGGAGACCAAGCUUUAUGCAGUGGAGAUGAGGCAUUGUUGAACAAAAGAGAACUGAGUUUACCCAACUGAGGACUGUAUGUCAGUCUAAAAAAUACAGAAACUCUUCCAAAUAUCACAUCAGUAAUGUUUAAGUGAUUUCAGAUGGGAGGAUUGACAUAUUUUAGUUGAAAUAUCUUUCUUGACUACAGACUAAUAUAUUAUGUGAAUACUUGCCUCUUUCUACCUGAGUUGCAGCCAAUGUUCUGAAAGCUUAAUGCAGUUCAUCAAAUAAAUCCCACUUUAGAUGGUAUAACUAACGGUGUGCCUUAGAAACCAGGCUGGAGAUAUGGGGGACAAUAGGUGCUGGGUGGCAGCAGGGAACUGCACCUCCAGUUAGCCAUGCAAUCACAAGGGUAAGCAACCAAUAUACUUCAAAUCAUUCUGUAUCCAUAUGGUCAUUGUUUUUUAUGUUCAUAGAGUAUCCAAUAAAUUACAUGAGAUAUUCAACACCUUAUCAUAAAAUAGGCUUUGUGUUAGAUGAUUUUGCCCUACUGUAGGCUAAUAUAAGCAUUCUGAGCCCGUUUAAGUUAGGCUAGGCAAAGAUAAGAUGUUUAGUAGUUCCUAACCUAUUAAAUACAUUUGAACUUAAUGGUAUAUUCAACUUAUGUUUCUUGGGCCAUAACCUCAUCGUAAGUCGAGGUAGGUCUGUAUACAAAAUACUUGGGAGUUUAAUUUUUUUGUUGUUGCAGUCUGAUAAUAUAGAAUUAAAAGGGCUAUGAUUGGAAUAAUUUAAAAACUGGAAAUUUCUUAAGCAUUUUUUCUCUUUAGGUGUUUUGUAUACAUUAUCUAGAACAAUUUUUCUCUAGCUUUUUGCAUGAUUGCUUAAUUUUUAUCUUUGAGGAUUUGUCUUAAAUGUUUUCUUCUAAGUGGGCCCUGUUGUUAAUAUUUAUCGGAGCACCUUGUUUAUUUCAGUCUUAGCACUUUAAAUAUUAAUUUACUAACUUGUUAAUCUCCCCAGCUGGGUUUUAAACUGAGAGCAGGGACUGUAGCUGUUUGACUUUCAUUUUAUUUCCAUUGCUUUGCACAGAGAUGGGGUAUUCAAUUGAUAUUUAUUAAAGAUAUAAAGGAAAAAGUGAUACUUUCUCAGAGCCUCAUGUAUUCCUGGUCCUUUGCCUGUCUGCUGACGACAAUGCCUAACAUAUGUAUUAGAUGCUCAGUAAAUAUUUGUUUACUAGGUUAUCUUUCUGAAUAAUGAUAUGUGAACUCUAAUACAAUCAAUAAUACUCUGUUAGAUAGGAUUAUUAAAGUUCUAUGUGCUUUUGUAAAAGAUGAAACGGAGUCCCCAUAAGUUAAGUAAUGUCCAUAGUUCUGUUGUGGGUUCCCCCCCCCCCGGUGUGUGUGUGUGUGUGUGUGUGUGUGUGUGUAUGUUUAAUUUUUAAACUAAAAAGUCUGUGCUUUUUCUUGCACUUUAUUUCUAGUCUGACUAUUGCUACUACCUUAUUUUGAAAGAAUUUAAACUCAAUCUCAAUUUCUUCACAUGUAAAAAUGAACAGUUAGAUUAGAUGUAUCUAAACUGCUAUUUUGAAGUUACAUGGUUUUGUGAAUGUAUGCCUUCCUAGCAACUAAAUAAUAUUGCUUUUAAAGGAAUUUGUAGUUCAUUGAAGUUGGAGAAAUUCUUUAUUUUUCUUGCUCAUAAAUCUUACUGAGAAAACACUUUCUAUUUUUUCCUAACAAAUACACAUUUGUAAGUAUAUGUGUAUUGUGGGUGUAUUUCUAUUUACAGAGGGAAAAACAAAAGGAUGAAAGUAUUACACAUCAUAUCUAGAAUAGAAAAGGAAAAAAGUAUGAAGCCUUUAAAAUAGUUUCCUAUUUUCUAAUCACUAGAAAUGCUGAGGUUGUUUGAACUACUGUUGUGCGAAUCUUUUUUGCUGUUACAUAUGUUCAAAAUAUAUUUCCAUGUUUUAGUUGAAAAGUGCAAAGUGGUUGACAGAAGACCAAAUUAUAGACUCCCAAUAACCUCUAGUAGAAAUGUGGAUGUUGAUAAAAUAAUCAAAUACUAUAUAGAUGAUUCCUUCAAAGAGACUGAGUAAUAGGAAUUGGCAAACAUGUAAGAGUGACACUGGAGAGGAGUGGCAGAUUUGGGAUAGGAUUUUUCUGUAGGAAGCAUGGCCCUGGAGGGGUGCUGCUCAGAAUGUUAUUAAAAGUUAUUCUAGGAAGUUUAAUGGAAAAUAUUGUUGAGCAAAGACAGGAGGUUUUACUGUAUGGACUGUGCUGAUUGGAGUAGUUAGUAUAGGGUUACAAUAGAAUGAGCUUAGAGUACAGAAACAAGAUAGCAAUAGAAAAGGUAAGCAUGUCAGGAACUUUAAUUCUGGAACUCGUAGUAGAACAAUCAUAAAAUUGAACUCAUAGGAACUAAGAGAAUUGCAGAGUAAGUCAUAAUUUGAAUUCUACAAGCAGCCUUCAGCUAGAGCAAGAGUUUAGGACUAAGAAAAAAGUUGAUUUUAAAUAAUGUAUCAGUGUUUUUUUUUUUUUUUUUCUCUUAAACAGUCUUCUUUCAAUUUGGUAAACCAUUUAUCAAGCACUUACUACGUACCAGGUAUCUUAACAGAAGACACUUGGUACUUAAGUAUUUGUUCUAGUUUCUUACACUUUUAUUACUUUGUUUAACUCACAUUGAGUAACGUUUAGUGUUUAAUAAAAUAAUUUAUUUUACUGAAAA